GCCACAAUAGCAUACUUGAAAUUUAGCGCCAUAUAAGCACAGAGUUACAUAUUUCAACUCGUUUUAUCAAUAUGUUAUAGUUUACAUACUUUUUCCAAAAAUAUGACUCGUCGACUUACCGUUUCUUGCGUUUAAUAUUCUUUAUCCAACAUUUCUUCUAAACAAAUGUUCACUAGUUAUUGUGACAACAAUGUGACAAUGGUGAAAAACAAAUUUACAUUGAGAAAUAGGUUAAGAUUAUGUUGGAAUUUCUCUAGUAUCAAAUUUUUCUCGGAGAACGCAAGCAAAUAACGGAUCGACGGAAAAAUGAGCAAGCUAUGGAAUUAUUUGAUAUUUCAAGGAUGGAUGUCAUAUUUGAUGGCAGCUGGUUUGUUGGUUUUCACGAGCGGCUUUUUGCUCAAUCGCGUUGCAAGACCGGAACGAGCUGAGUGUAAAGAUUGCACGGAUUCUGAUUGUAACGUCAAGCAACUUCUUCAGAAUCCCGAUGCUGCUGCAACCAUAUGUCUCAAAAGAAAGUCACGUGUUGUAUUAUUAGUCGUAGAUGCUUUAAAAUAUGAUUUUGCAUAUUGGUAUAAUGAUAAUAAUUCUACCUCAUCUUAUUAUCGCAAUAAGUUACCUAUAAUUCACGAAUUGUUGCAAAAUCAACCUAUGAAUUCACGCUUGUAUAAGUUCAUAGCAGAUCCUCCGACAACAACUAUGCAACGAUUAAAAGGUCUUACCACAGGAUCGUUGCCAACCUUCAUUGACAUUGGGUCUAAUUUUGCCUCUGAAAGCAUCAACGAAGAUAAUAUUGUAGAUCAAAGCACUGCCGAAGGUAUAGUUUUCAUGGGUGAUGAUACCUGGACUAAUUUAUUUCCUGGCAAAUUUAAACGUCAAUUUCCAUCACCAUCUUUUAAUGUUUGGGAUCUGGACAGUGUUGAUAAAGAUGUUAGAUACCGUAUAUUUUUCGAGAUGAAGAAGAAAGAUUGGUCUCUCCUGAUAGCACACGUUCUUGGAAUUGAUCAUUGCGGACAUAAACAUGGUGCUAAUCAUCCUGAGAUGGCUAGAAAGUUAAAUGAUACAAAUAGUCUUAUAAGAGAUAUCAUCGAGUCCUUAGAAGAGGAUACAGUACUUUUUGUUGUUGGUGAUCAUGGAAUGACAGAAAGUGGUGAUCAUGGUGGUGAUAGCAGGAAUGAAAUUGAGGCUGCCAUGUUUGUUUAUUCUAUGGUUCCUUUGAUAAAAUAUGAUUCAUCUAACAAUACUGUGAACCAAAUCGAUCUUGUUCCAACAUUGGCAUCUAUUCUUGGUACUCCUAUACCAUUUUCAAACUUGGGAUCUAUCAUACUUGAUUCAAUUCCAAGUUCAUCAAGAAAUGGGGAAUUAAAAGAUGAGUUAUGGUAUUUGUUGCAUUCAGUAUGGAGAAAUAUUGCACAGACAAAAAGAUAUAUAAGUGUAUAUUCUGAAGAUACUUACUUAUUUUCUAAAGAACAGCUUCAAAAUUUGGAAAAUAUGUAUAACUACCUAUUUAACCAAAUUAAGAGUAUUAAUACUAUUGAAGAAUUUGACUCUUUUAUUGUGAAUAGUCGGAACUACUUUAAAUUGCUCAAAGAUACAUGUUCUGAAGUUUGGGUUCAAUUUGAUUCUAGUCUAAUGUCAAAAGGCCUGCUUUUGAUGUUUUGUGCUUUGUUUUUCUUUUAUCUAUUUAUCACAGGCAUUCCAGAAGAUCGUAUGUAUAAGAUAUUUGAGUCUUCAUUUCUACAAUGUUCUAUUUUAGCAAAUUUAAUUACUGCAUUGAUAAUGUGCCUUUUGUUUUUCUUUAAUAUUUUAGAAGAAUUCAAAAACACAACAUUGUUUGCCACUGGUACAGUAUCUAUAAUAUUAUUAAUAAUAUUAAUUACUAAGAAUUGGGAUGUUAUUUCAUUGAAUUGGUAUGAUUAUAGAAAAAUAAAAAAAUUGAUCUAUAUUACAAGAUUAGUAUUUUUUUUAACAAUAUGCACUCUCUUUUCUAACAGCUAUAUUGUUGAAGAAAAUAAUGUAUUAUCUUUUUUAAUUGUUACUCUUCUUUGGCUUAUCAUGUUUAAUCUAACGAAAAAAGAUGCUAGUGAAAAUCCAGAAAGGAAAACAAAACCAUUUUUAAAACAACAAACAAAAUCAAACUUGAAGAUAAUUAUAAUAGCCAGUAGCUUAAUAGCAUGUAUUUCCAUAAGAUUAUCUUAUUACUUCUGGCGUUGUAGAGAGGAGCAACAACAAAGUGUAUGUUCUAUGUUUAUAUUUGGUAAAACAAGUUCUAUAACAUCGGACAAUUUAGAACGUAUUUUACUUGCCAUCACAUUAAUUAUACUUGCAUUACACAUUACGAUAAUAAGACUAUGGUUGCAAAAUUGUGGAAACCUUUCUGGUUUCUCUCCUAGUGUUUUAGUAGGACAAUACUGUCCUGUUGUGAUAGGUGUUUGUAUGGGUUGUUAUUGGGUCCUUCAAAGGUUACCAAAAUUUGUAAAAGUAAAAUUUGCACUAUCUUGGCAAGUAAGCACAUUGCCUAACAUAGUAUAUGCAUUGAGUCUGUUUGCAAUCUUUAUAUUAUACUAUCGUCCGCUCAGUAUAUUUUUACUACCAAAGAAAAAGGAAUUAAUUAACAUAUACCAAGAUGAAAAUGUAGUACCUCGAUUAUUUGAGAAAAUAAAGGAGUCAAUUUAUCGAAAAAAUAUAGACGUAGAUCAAACGCCAGUUGUUUAUGGCUUAGGUACUGCGUAUAGUGCCACAUUUGUCUCAUUAAGUGUAUUUCUUAUGUUGUUAUAUUCUUUAUUGUUAGGGGAUAUAUUAUCACCUAGUACUUUCUUAAUGUUUAUAUGUUGUACCUCUGUUUUGGGCUUAUCAGCGAUAGAAAGAUACAAGAAUGCUAAUAGUAUAUCUGAACUGGUAGAAGUACCUACUCCCAUACUAUUGUGUUGGUUCUUAAUAGCAGAAUAUUUCUUUUAUGGAACUGGGCAUCAACCAACUUUCCCUACAAUUCAUUGGGAUGCUGCUUUUGUAGGAACAGGUGGACAUUUCUAUGGAAAUUUAUUACCAGCAAUCUUAAUAGGAAUAAACACAUUCGGAUCACACAUUAUACUAGGUGCAACAUUACCACUAUUAGUUAUUGUACCAUUUACUUUUUAUCUUGUAUUUCCAAAGUUAGCUAAAAUAAAAUUUUCGGAAGACAACAUGAAAAGAGGAGAACUGCAUCUGUUUGAACAAGAUUCUGUGUUUCAUGCUGCAAUUUUCUCAGUUGCAGGAAAAUAUAUAUUACUUCAUGGAAUCAGAACAUUUGGUAGCAUGCUUGCUACGACGAUUCACUGUCGACAUUUAAUGGUUUGGAAGAUCUUCGCGCCAAAGUUAAUAUUCGAAGGCUUGGGAUUAUUGGUAACAUUAAGCAGUGUACUGGCGUCCUUUUAUAUGGUGUUCAGAAUCGAUCAGCAAAUGGAACAUCUUAUAUCCAGAGUGACAAAAGGCAGAUGAUAAAAUUUUUCUUGAUAUAAGAUGUAAUCAACACAGUAAAAUAUCAAAGUUUGAAAUGUAAUAUUAAGUGAAAAAUGCGUGCAAUGACUUGUUACUGCUAUCAUUAAAAUUGGAAGUCUCUACCAAAAAGAAGUAAAUUAGGUGUCCAACGUCGACACUUACCAGUACUGCCGUUUUCAUAAUUUUAUAUGACUUUAUAUAAGAAAUAGCGAAAGCGUAGUUAUACAAGGUGGUUGGUAACUGGUGGUACAAGCGGAAAGGGGGUGAUUCUACGCGAAAAAAGAAGUAGGAAAUAUAGAAUAAAAAUUUAAGAAUUAAAAAAAUUAAAAAAAUAACGUCAAUCGAGACAACGAUCUACAGUGAGAUCCGUUAUAACGAGACGUGAUAAAGUGCACGCGUACCAAGCGAAAAUUCAAAGUCAAUUUUCUCGAAAACAAAGCCUCAAACGAAAAAUUUUUAUUCUAUAUUUUCGACUUCUUUUUUCGCGUAAGAUCACCCCCUUUCCGCUUGUACCACUAGUUACCAACCACCCUGUAUAUGAACUAUUAGUCCAAAUAGGAAAAUUGAACUGAAACAUUUAGGACAUGAGAAUGAUAUGUCUUUUCUUUUGUUUUUCCAAAGACCAAGGCAUGUUAUUAAUUCUGGUGCUUCCUAACACACUAACGCUAUCCUGCGUGCAAUGCAUUGCUGAUUACAGAGAAACAAAGCAACGCACUUGAUGCAGGAUUGCGUCCAUGUGCGCAGAUGAUUGCUUGAUCAAUGUAUUCCAUCCAGUUGGCCCACUUAUAAUAGUCCUCGUAAUCGCUGGGAUCCUGUGACAGAUGAACAUGUUCACAAUAUUCACAGUAUUCAAAUUACACAUACCUAGUUUUGGUAAUUAUUAUUUUGAAAGACAGGCACCUGCAUAUUAGGCAAUACAGGCAUUUGUAUCUGGAAACAAAUGAAGUUAUGAUGUUGUAUAAGAUAUCUUGUCAACCCAUCAUUUGUUUUACAAUGAUACAAAUUGUUGUUAACUAUCAUAUUUAGCUUUCAUUAUAUACAAUAUAGAAUACAAAUAUAUAGAUUCAAAAAGAUA